CCCUUAGAGUUUGAUCCUGGCUCAGAUUGAACGCUGGCGGCAUGCCUUACACAUGCAAGUCGAACGGCAGCACGGGGGGUAACCCCUGGUGGCGAGUGGCGAACGGGUGAGUAACAUAUCGGAACGUGCCCUGUAGCGGGGGAUAACCUCUCGAAAGAGAGGCUAAUACCGCAUACGCUCUACGGAGGAAAGCGGAGGACCGCAAGGCUUCGCACUAUAGGAGCGGCCGAUAUCGGAUUAGCUAGUUGGCGGGGUAAAAGCCCACCAAGGCGACGAUCCGUAGCUGGUCUGAGAGGACGACCAGCCACACUGGAACUGAGACACGGUCCAGACUCCUACGGGAGGCAGCAGUGGGGAAUUUUGGACAAUGGGCGCAAGCCUGAUCCAGCCAUGCCGCGUGAGUGAAGAAGGCCUUCAGGUUGUAAAGCUCUUUCGGCGGGGACGAAACGGUCCGUGCUAAUACCACGGACUAAUGACGGUACCCGCAGAAGAAGCACCGGCUAACUACGUGCCAGCAGCCGCGGUAAUACGUAGGGUGCAGGCGUUAAUCGGAAUUACUGGGCGUAAAGCGUGCGUAGGCGGUUUGUUAAGACAGGUGUGAAAUCCCCGGGCUUAACCUGGGAACUGCGCUUGUUACUGGCAGACUUGAGUGUGGCAGAGGGGGGGGUGGAAUUCCACGUGUAGCAGUGAAAUGCGUAGAGAUGUGGAGGAACACCGAUGGCGAGGCAGCCCCCUGGGCUAACACUGACGCUGAUGCACGAAAGCGUGGGGAGCAAACAGGAUUAGAUACCCUGGUAGUCCACGCCUAAACUAUGUCAACUGGUUGUCGGGGAAGAAAUUCCUUGGUAACGAAGCUAACGCGUGAAGUUGACCGCCUGGGGGAGUACGGCCGCAAGGUUAAAACUCAAAGGGAAUUGACGGGGACCCGCACAAGCGGUGGAUUAUGUGGAUUAAUUCGAUGCAACGCGAAAAACCUUACCUACCCUUGACAUGUACGGAACCCUCCAGAGAUGGAGGGGUGCCCGAAAGGGAGCCGUAACACAGGUGCUGCAUGGCUGUCGUCAGCUCGUGUCGUGAGAUGUUGGGUUAAGUCCCGCAACGAGCGCAACCCUUGCCAUUAGUUGCUACAUUCAGUUGGGCACUCUAAUGGGACUGCCGGUGACAAACCGGAGGAAGGUGGGGAUGACGUCAAGUCCUCAUGGCCCUUAUGGG
rnacentral:rRNA from 1 species